AUGAAGAAGAUAAAAACAAGAUACCAAUUAAGAGAAUGUUCUCCUUCUAUGUUUGCAGCAUGAGUCAAAGCAUUGCUCCAACUCUGCUUCGUCUCCUCACUUUUCCCUUCACAAGUCUUCAUGAAUGCGGUUCCGAAAUCUCCCUUCUGUUUCCGUACACUCGACGGAUCAACGUCAUAGAAGAUGGUCAUCACGAUCUGCCCCUGAUCUUCUUUGCACUUGAAGAUUUCCACAAGUUCAUCUAAACACCAGCUCGAAGAAGCGUACUUCUUCGAGAGCAGCACGAUCGAGACUCGAGAUUCUCUAAUCGCUUGUACGAGCUCAGGUUUAAUCGUGUGGCCUCUCUCGAUCUCCUGAUCUUUAAACGUCGUGAUCCCUUUGCUUGCGAAGUGAUCGUGUAAAUGACUGAGAAACCCUCUACGAACAUCUGGGCCAUGGAAGCUCGGGAAAACAUGGUAUCUCAUGAUGCCAGAGGAAGAAGAAGAAGAAGCCAUGAGAGAUCACAAAUGCUUGAACUUGAAGAUAGUAUUCUUAAUUAGAAUGGUAUUGAAGAAUGUAUGAUUGGAAGAGCAAGCUCCUUUGGUUUUUGUAGUGAAGCAAAAAAACGCGUAAAGAGAAGAGAAAUUUCGAAGAAAUUGGAAUGUAAUUGAAGAAAUACAAAAUAGAAGAGGACAAAUUUCAAAAGCGUACGUGUUUCUUUAUAGUCGUCGAGGACCACAAUCACUCAUUAAAGCUUUGCCAUGUGAAAUGAGCACAGAGUUAUAAUAAGUAUCCGACAGUCAAGUUGGUAGAGAGCACAGAGUUAUAAUAAGUAUCCGACAGUCAAGUUGGUAGAGACGACGAAUCACGAAGUUUCGAAUGAGCUCAACCACAUACCACAUUUUGUAAAUUUGGUUUGAAAAGUAAACCGGGUCUUUUAUUUGUUUUAAAUUCAAUAACAGUAAUAUCGAAUUAAAUUCUGCUUUUGGGAAUGAUGAUUUUGGAUGUUUAAUUUAGGUUUUUUCUGCUUUUUUUUUUUUUUUGUGUGUAGUGGAUGUAUUGAAAUAACGUGUGGCUUCUAUUUUAACAGCUUCUGUCUCAUUGGUGUGGAGGACACUCAGUUUCAUAAGUAAAAGAGAAGUUAUCAAAGAAAUUACGAAUUUGACAUUUUAGGGCCUGAUAUUGGGCCCUUAACUUUAUAAACGGGCCAAGCCUGAGAUUUCGGUUUUCCCGAUACUCGCAACUAGGGGUGUCAAAAUAAGCUAGCUCGCUCAACUCGGUUCAGUUCAUGAUGAGCUCGGACAUUUUAUGAGCUAACUCAGCUCAGCUCAUUUAUUAGAUGAGCUUCAAUAUAUAAACUCGGACUCAGAUCAUUUUGGUCACGAGUUAAAGGAGCUAGCUCAUAACAAAUAAAUAUAAUAACAAAAAUAUUGUAAUUUUUUUUAAAAAAAUAAAAUAAAUCCAAUAACAUAAUUAAUUCUAAAGUUAAAUAAUGGAAAUAAAUCCAAGAAAAAAAUAAUUUCAAAACGCCAAACAAAAAAAAAAUCUCAAAUAAUAAAUCCUAACAAUUAAAUUAAAUUAAUUAAAGAUAAUAGAAAUAUGGAAUGAUCAAGAAUUUAUUCCGUGUUAGAGUCUUGCUCUUGAGAUGAUCCUACAUCAACAUCUUCAUUGUCUUCAUCUACAAGUAAACGUUUUAUAUAAUAUCUAAAUAGGAUAAUUCCUUUUUUUUUUUUGGGAAACGGUUAAGAUAAAUUUUUUAAAAGAUUAUUUCUAUAUUACUUAAUUAUCUUCUAAAAUUAAUAUGUAAAAAGACACAAAUUUUCUAAAAGAAUAAUUCUAUUUUUGUUUAAUUUAAAUGGAAAAGAUAUAUAUAUAUAUAUAUAUAUAUAUAUAUCUAAAAAAAGUCGAGCUCAUGUUCAUUAAAUCUCGCUCAUAUAACUCGCGAUCUAAAAAAAGCUCGAUCACAUAACUCAUUUAUUAAAUGAGCCUAAAAAACAGAGCUCGUGCUCAUGAAAAAUCGAGCUGAGCUGAGCCAGCUUAUGAGUUGCGAGCUCAUUUUGACACCCCUACUCACAACAAAUCCGUUCAAAACAGUAUUUUAUCUAAAUCGCGCUAAAAUUUUAUCAUCCCACCUACAUGGUGGGAUGUGCAAGCAACGUGAAGGCCAUAACAUUGAUACUAUAUGCGAUUAACAGUUAUUAAAAAGUGUAUUUUAUAUAUGGGACUCCGAAGAACUCGGAAAAUGUUUUCAACGAUCAAAAUCACACCAAACCAAAAUUCAACAUUUUCCUGCAACUUUUUGUUUUUCUCUUAAUUAUCUUAGCAACCAAGAAGAAGAAAAAACAGGGGAAAAAUAAAACUCUUUUUUCUUCUUCUUCUUCUGAAUUUCUCAGUUGCUUUUUUAUUUCUCUUUUGAAUCUGUUUUAUUGAUCGGUGAGAGACAUUCUACAUAACCAAUUUUUUAACGGUUGAUUUUUCUCUUUGGAAAGAAAACCAACAGGGUAGAUAUCAUAAACUCAUGUGCCUUUAGAAUCCUUCUAUCUUCAGUGGUAAUGAUAAUCCGACUUCCAGAACCAAACAAAGAAAGCUGCCAAGGCCUCAAAUUGCUGUAGAUUGUCUACAUCAUCAAGAAUGAUAAGCACUCAUGAAUCUUGUAGCCAUUCCUUGAUUGCAUCUAAAUUAUUUAUCCUCAUAUCCCUUUUGUUGAAAAUCUUGGACAGAAGUUGGUUUUGUAAACACAACAUGGAAUCAUAGUCAUCAACACCCAUUAUGCUCUUAUAACUUCCUUUGAGGUUCCCCAUAAAACAAACUAAGUGGAAACUCGCUACAAAGUUGGUUAUAUAGAGCUCUAGCAAUGGUAGUCUUACAAAUUCCCGCAGGACCCCAAAUUACAAUCAUCUUCACGUCAUCGCAUCCAAGGCAUUAAGAGAGACGAUUUACAUACCAAUUGAGAGAGUGUUCCCCAGCAAUGGUUACAUACCAAUAAGCCAUUCAGUCUGUUUGAAACAUCAAUAAGAGGCGAUUAGCCCUAACAUAUGCAAACAAAAUCAUGUUAAGGAGUCUAAAUUUCCUUAAAGUGAAGCAUUUCCAAAAGAUAACUAAGUUCAUUAAGAGACGAUUUACAUACCAAUUAAGAGAGUGUCCCCGGCAAUCUGAGCUUCACCUCCUCAGUUUUCCCUUGACAAGUCUUCUCGAAAGCGCUCCCGAAAUCUCCCUCCCGUUUCCGUACAUCAGACGGAUAAACGUCUUAAAAAAUGGUCAUCACAAUCUGCUCUUGAGCUUCUUCGCACUUCAAGAUUUCAGCCAAUUCAUCUAAACACCAGCUGGAAGAAGCGUACCUUCUUCGAGAGCACCACAAUCGAGACUCUAGAUUCUCUAAUCGCUUGUACGAGCUCAGGUCCAAUCGUGUGGCCUCUCUUGAUCUCCUGAUCAUUGAAAGUUGUGAUUCCUUUUGCUUGCGAAAUGACAGUGUAAAUGACUGAGAAACCCUCUACGGAAAUCUGGACCGUGAAAGCUCGAAAAGACAUGGAAUCUCUUCAUACGAGACGAAGAAAAAGAAGCCAUGAAACAGAUUGGUAAAUUUUGAGAUUGAAGAAGAAGGUACCACAAUGGUUUUGGAUAAGCAAUCUAUGGAGUAGAAAACAAGUCUCUCGCUUAUAUAAUUGAAGAAAACGCGUAACGAGAGGAUUGAAAUUUCAAAGGGAUUUGUCUCUCUGUAGAGAAAAAUACAAAAAAUGUUUCCCUCAAAGUCGUCGAUGACCCAUAAGAGUGUUUCCUCAUGGUCUUGAGAACCUCAUAAGGUUUUGAAUUUUUGGCAAUCGGAAUUUUAUUUCGUAGAGAUGAGCUCAGAGCUGAAGCAUGAGACUCGGUGAGAAGAUGAUCGGAGGAAGAAGAAAGAACCAGACAUGAUUCAAAAUUAGGGAUCUUAAAACUCUCGAUAUCCAAUUGUAAAUUUGGUUUGAAAAACUAAACCGGCCUUUUCAAUUCGAUCAAAAUUGGUUUUCUGGUUAGGUUUUCUGGUUAGAAACAAAAAAAGAAAUUAGAGAUUUUCUUAGCAACCAAGAAGAACACAAAAACAGGGGAAAAACACAACUCCGUUUUUUCUUCUUCUUCUUCUGAUCCUCAGUUGCUUUCAAAUUCUCUUUUGAAUCUGUUGUAUUGAUCGGUGAGAGACACUCUACAUAACCAAUUUUUCAACGGUUGAUUUUGUCUUCAUCAAUUUUUUCAAUUUGAGAUUGUUUAUUUGGAUGAUCAGGUCGGAGAUUUACUCUGUUUUGGUUUUUGUAUGAUAGGCUUUUGUAUGCUCGAUUGAUCGAUCCUUAAAUCAUAAAGGAUCUUCAUUUCAGGUUUGGCCUCAAAACCCUAUGUUGCUUCUUCUUGAUCUAUAUAUAUCUUAAUGUUCUAUGGUCUCAGCUUCUGUUCUUUGCUACUACGUCUACACUCAGUUUCUUAGUAAAAGAGAAGUUAUCACAGAGUUACAAUGGUUCUGAAUAAGCCAUCUAUUGAAUACAACAGUAGUUUCUUACUUACCUGGAAAGCAAAUAUACACAAGACAAUAACUAACCCUAAUGCAAUGGUGCUGCUUGCAUUCAAUAGUCUUGUUCUCAUUGUCCCAGUAAGUGAACUCGAACAGAACCUUGCUCAUGGUCACAUCCACUUCGUUAAAUAUUUAUGCUUUGUUGAUGAUACAAGUCACCACCAAAUUAUAAAAACAGAUGUUCUGAUAGAGAACGAGUUGACACAUCUGAUUAAAGACAUGCGGGAUUACUCUUCUUGAUUCGUCUAGUUUCACACAGUUGCAGGAAUAACAAUAGAAUCUCUUCAAUGAUUCACACUUUGCUUACAUUUUCGACACUCAACGGACUCCAAAAGAUCGAUAUGUGACACAGAGUUUUCUGCAUUUGUGGAUGCUACGUUCUUUUUAAGACUUUUCGUUGCUGCUACUCUGAGUUUUAUCCAUCAAAUCCAUGCACUGCACUCAAUGAUCUGACAUAUUUACUGCUUGUGACAUUUUCAUCUUUAGAGAUCCGAGCGGCUCCAUCCUCAAUCGCAUUUGAUUCUUCUGUGUUUCUGGGACAACUUAGUGUGAAAAAUAAAGUGAUGUUUCACGGUGGAGCUUUUUGUCUUCUUUUUCUUAGACCAACAACCUGUGUGUUUAGCGUUAUCCACAUUCUCAACAUUUUGGUAGCCAAUGUUGCCUACGGCUUCAGGUUCACAGUCCAAAUAUUCAUCAUAUCCUUCUUUCAAGAUCUGUAUACCACACUCAAUAAUCUUGUUGUUAUCUGAGCAAGUGAAUUCGAACAGAAUCUCGCUUUGUGAGUGUACUCCACAGAGAGUUCUUUUCCGGGUAAGCAGACAUAUUUGGCUUUCAAAUGGUGUAUGAUUUCUCUUCAAAGGCUCGCCUACUAAAUUAAACCAACUACUACUUGGUCUUGGACAUAUCAAAAUUCAGUAAGAUAUAUGUAAAAACUUACUGUUCCGUUUCCUAGUACAUUGAGAAUGUCUUCAGUUUCUAUUAAGAAAAUGGUGUUUAUUGGCAUUUCCAUAUUUCGUAAAGAUUUGCUGUUUAUUGUUGGUUUGGUUGGUUGCUGCUACUAUUAGUUUAAAACGGAUCAAAUUCGGGUUUAUUGGCAUUUCCAUAUUUCGGGUUUCCAAAUUGGUUGGUUGGAGUUAUCCGAGAUACGGAGAUGCCAAUAAACGUCAAUUUUUAAUGGAGUAGAGAUAGUGAUGCCAAAUUGGGUGCAUCACCAUCUCUUGAUGCGAGCAAGACGAAGAAGGAGAAGAAGCCAUGAAAGAUAUGGUAAGCUUUGAUAUGGACGAUGAAGGUAUCACAACUGUUUUGGAUAAGCUAUCUACGGAACUGAUAUUUCAAAGGACUUUGUCCUCCUUGUAUAGAAAAAUACAAAAACAAAAUGUUUCCCCCAAAGUCGGUGAGGACCCCAUCCAUCCAUAAGGUUUGAUUUCGUUAAGAUUUGCUGUUUAUUAUUGGUUUGGUUUGGUUGCUGCUACUAUUAGUUUCAUAGUAAAAGAGAUGUUGAAAAAGUUAUCACAGAGUUUGCAAUUGUUCUGAAUAAGCCUAUGUAGCAGAACAAUGAAAGCAACUCUCUGUGAAGAAUUAAGAAAAUUGGAGCUAGGGGAUCAGAUAUUCCAGUCUCUCUACAGAUUUGGUCAUUUGGAUAAUCAGAAAUGUACACAAUUAUGUUUGCUCAUCAGUCAAAGCUUUGCUUCAUGUCCUUCACAAGUUUUCUCGAAUGCGUUGACAAGAUAACAAAACUUCUCUUAGUACUUAAACAGCUAACUAACUAGAUCACAAAAUAACAAGACUUUUCUUAGUACUUAAACAGCUAAUUAAGAAAUAAAUACAAGGCUUUGUCUAUUAAACCAAAACGGUAUAACUCAUACUGUCGUACAGAACCUAGUGUAGCGACAAUAUUGGGAUAUGCUUUGUCUACUACUAAUCACACUCACAAAGGUUUUGCAAAACAAAACAGAUUUUUGCUCAUGGAUUCUGUAAAUCCCAAUUAAUCUCCUACUAAUUUCUCUACUCUAAGAGUAUUAGCGUGUUACCAUAUCCACAAUAACAAAGCUUAAAGACAAGAGGUCUAUACUUAACAGAUUUGCCAAGAGGUAUCACUCAUUCACUCAUUAAAGAAAAAGAUGUGUAACUCAUUCAGUCAUAUACUAAGCUUAUAGACAAGAGGUGUGACUCAUUCAAAUUCACAAACUCACAAAGGUUUUGCAAGACAAACAGAUUUUUUUGUAAAUCCCAAUUAAUCUCCAUACCUCCUUAUACACAUUCGUUUGCAUUUAAGGACUUGAGCUACAGGGGAAGAGCCGGCAUUGUCACGAGUUUCGGGUUACUUGAUUAGAUGUUUUCAAUUUCAGAGAACUUGAAACCUUCUGCGUCAUAGUCUCCAUCUCCAUCUCCAACUUCAUAUCCAUCUGUGAGGUGAUUAUCGUCACCUCCAGUUUCCUAAUAAUCCACUUUGCUGCUGCUACUCUCAGUUUCACAGAUGUCCCCUUUGUCAGAACUCCACUCUGUCGUAUUCAUCUUCUUCUCUUUUAGACCAAAAAAAUUCUGAAGCCAACUCCUAAAACCUAUUUGUUUACUGGUUUUGAUGUUUUCAUCUCCAUUUCCAUCUUCGCUGCUGCUACUCUCAGUUUCAUGGCUGUCCACUUCGCUGCUGCUACUCUCAGUUUCAUAGUUGUCCAACUCCCUGAUGCUGCUACCCUCAGCUUCCUCUGUCAUGAUCUGUACACCACACUCACUAAUCUUGGCAUUGCCGACAUUGAAGCUGAACUCAAAUAUAAUCUCGCUCAUGGUCACAUCCACUUCAUGGCAUUUGUUUCCUUGGGGAAACAAAUCGCCAUGAAAUAUAAACAGAUGUUUUGACCGAAAAGACAAAGACAGAUAUUCAAACUCGUAGCUAUGAACUGUAACACCUCCUUUGCUUCUGAUACUACAACUUAUAGUUCUUAAUCCGGCGUACUCAACUGGCAAAAUGAGAAUGGAAGCCUUAAACCUUGAGGAAGCAGAGAGAGUACCCGGAGCCAGAGGGAUGGUUAUGGAUCUCCCUGUUGCUUUGUGAGUGAAAUCUGCAGGGAUGUUUUUACCUGGUAACCAUUUAUACAUGCCAACUGAUUGUUGUAUGAUUCCUCUUCUUGAUUCUUUAUCCAGUUUCAAACAGUUGCUGCCACUCUCAGUUUCAUGGCUGUCCACUUCGCUGCUACUACUCUCAGUUUCAUGGCUGUCCAAUUCCCUGAUGUUGCUACCCUCAACUUCCUCUCUCAUGAUCUGUACACCACACUCAAUAAUCUUGUCAUCGCCGAAAUCGCAGCUGAACUCAAAUAUAAUCUCGCUCAUGGUCACAUCGGCUUCAUGGCAUUUGUUUCCUUGGGGAAACAAAUCAUCAUGAAAUAUAAACAGAUGUUCUGACCGAAAAGACAAAGACAGAUGUGGACACUCGCAUCUAUGAACUGUAACACCUCCUUUGCUUCUUAUAGUACAGCUUACACCUUCAUAUCCGUAGUCCUUAACUGGGGAAAUGAGAAGGCAAGCCUUAAACCUUGAGGAAGCAGAGAGAGUACCCGGAGCCAGAGGGAUGGUUAUGGAUCUCCCUGUUGCUUUGUGAGUGAACUCUGCAGGGAUUUUUUUACCUGGUAAGCAUACAUAAUCGUAAAUUGAUUUUUGUAUGAUUCCUCUUCUUGAUUCUUUAUCCAGUUUCAAACAGUUGCUGAAUUGGAGUACAUUGGUUGGGGUAUGGAAAGAGAAGCGUACUCUCUUGAGUGAUACACAAUCGUUUGCAUCUAGGACCUUGAGGGAGGGGGGAAGACCCGGAAUUGACUCGAGUUUUGUGCACCUUUUGACAGAAAGCCAUUCUAGACGAGUGAGACCUAUGACGCAAUCUGGAAUCGUCUCUAUAUCACUGCCAUUAAGAAUUAGGUCAGUUAUAAAGAGUGGUACAUGUGUCAAUCUCUUGAGGCUGCUGCUGCAAAUGUUGAGGCGAUCAAGACGAGACAAACAUCCAGCAACUGAUGGAGGGACAUCUUCUAUAUCUGUAUCUCCGAGAUUGAGAACCUUGAUGUUACUGGAGAUUUCUGGAAAAGUUCUCAACCGUGAGCAACCAUUCAUGGUGAGUAUCUUAAGAGAUGCUAAGUUGAUGUUGCUGGGAAUAACUUGUAGCAUACAGCAAAAACCAACAUCUAGAAUCUUUAGUUUUUGUAGAUUCUUAAUAGAAGAUGGAAGCUCCACCAAACUUCCGCAGCCCUCAAGUGUCAAUUCCUCGAGAUUAGUAGCAUUUGAAAGAUUUGGGAUUUCUUUCAAUUGACGGGAAAACAUCAGAUCUAUGAUCUUGAGAUUAGGAAGGGACUGCAUGUUAAAUGAGAAAUAUUUCUUAUUUAAAUUGAAUCAUUAGAAGCACUAGAAAGAAUAUCGAAUACCAAACCUGGAUUCCUCCCCAGAGCUUCUCGAGAUUGCUAAAUGGCAUACGGAGUUCCAUGAGACGUUCCGGCUGAAACCUCCGAGGAAGACUUGUUCUUGGGUAAAAUUCCCAAUGUAGUAACCUAAGAAGAGGUAAAUAAUCCAAAUCUUCUGGUAUUUGCAAAGUACCUUCGCCGCCAAACCAACGCCUAAAGAUUCUUAGGAAUCGGAGAUUACGCAUUCCUUCAAAAGCCCCCUUACUUACAGAAACUUCUCCGAUAUUGGAUGUAUCAAAUGAUAUACCUAUGACUGAUCCAGUACCCUACAAAAUAACAUUGCCAAUGACUGAUGAAAUUGUUAUCACUAAAAAUAGGCAAUAUACAUGUAAGAACUUAAACUUACUGUUUCGGUUGACAGUACAUCACAAAUCUCAUCGGCCUCAAAUAAAAAUUGACGUUUCCCGGGCUCGUCAGACUGUUCAUGAACUAUCUGUCUACCCAAUUGUUGUAGUAGAUGGUGCAUCACUAUACGGCCAUAGGUAGAUUUAUGCACGAGAGAUUUAUCGGCUAGGGUCUCUAACCCAUUCCUAACAUCCAAGUUACUAUCAGAAAGCACAGAUAUCACAUUAUCAACGACUUCAUUGUUGAAGAAGCAUGCAAUGUGAAGGAAUAGAGAUUGAUUUUUCUUCGACAAACUGUCGAAUCCCACUUUCAAAAUGUCUUCAACUUUUCCAUCAAGACUUCCAUCAAUUCUAGAUAAUUGAAGUUCCCACUCUUGCUUGCUCUGCCCACGCAAAGAUGAACCCACGACACAAAGGCCUAAUGGAAGAUUGCCGCAAAGCUCUGCUACUUUAUUGGCAACCUCUUCAAAACCAUUUGGUACAGAGCUUUGUUUGAAAGCAGAGAGACAUAAGAUCUCAAGAGCUUCUUCCUCGGAUGGGAAAUCCACAUGGUAGAUAUCCUUGAUCCCAUGUGCCUCCAAAAUCUUCUUAUCUUCUGUGGUAACGAUGAUCCGGCUUCCAGAACCAAACCAAGAAGGUUCUUUAGCCAAUACCUCUAAUUGCUCUAGAUCAUCUACAUCAUCAAGAAUGAUGAGCACUCUUUGACGUUGUAGCCUUUCUUUGAUUGCACCUAAAUGACGCAUCUUCAUAUUCUCUUGGUUAAAAAUCUUAGACAAAAGUUGGUUUUGCAACCACAACUUGGAAUCAUGGUCAUCAACACCCAUUCUGCUCUUAAGACUACCCUUGAGGUUCCCCAUAAAACAUUUAAGUUGAAAAUUGCUAGAGAGUUGGUUGUCUAAAGCUCUAGCAAUGGUGGACUUACCAAUCCCUGCAGGACCCCAAAUCCCAAUCAUCUUGACUUCAUCACUUUCCAAGCAUAACAAAGAGUUCAAUUUUGCCAAGUGAGCUUCAUGUCCCACCAUCCCGUCAAAAUCCUUCGACGGUGUAAGAUUAAGUUUGUUUGAAACAUCGGUAGCAAUCUUUUUAAUCAUAUCUGCUUCAUUAGCCCUAACAAAAGCAAAACAAAAUCAUGUUGGUGGGUCGAAAUUACAAAAAUUUGAAGCACUAAUUCAUUCAGAGACAAAAAAAAAAAGAAAAAAAAAAAAAGAAGAAGAUAAAAACAAGAUACCAAUUAAGAGAAUGUUCUCCUUCUAUGUUUGCAGCAUGAGUCAAAGCAUUGCUCCAACUCUGCUUCGUCUCCUCACUUUUCCCUU
rnacentral:lncRNA from 1 species